AACAAAUAUUAAAGGCAACGCCUGCCCAGUGAAUAAUUAAACGGCCGCGGUACCCUAACCGUGCAAAGGUAGCAUAAUCAUUUGUCUAUUAACUGUAGACCUGUAUGAAAGGCAAAAUGAGGGUUAAGCUGUCUCUUAUAAUAAAUCUAUAAAACUGAUCUCCCAGUAAAAAAGCUAGGAUAAUAACAUAAGACCAGAAGACCCUGUGAAGCUUAAACCAAACUAUUAAACCAAAUAAUAACUACUUUCGGUUGGGGCGACCUUGGAAAUAAAAAGAACUUCCAAUUAUACUUAACAUACAAACAUUCUAGGCCAACAAGCCAACUAAACGACCCAGCAAAGCUGAUAAAUGAACAAAGUUACUCCAGGGAUAACAGCGCUAUCUUCUUCAAGAGCCCAUAUCAAAAAGAAGGUUUACGACCUCGAUGUUGGAUCAGGACACCCCAAUGGUGCAACCGCUAUUAAAGGUUCGUUUGUUCAACGAUUAAUGUCCU
rnacentral:rRNA from 1 species